AUCCACGGCCAUAGGACUGUGAAAGCACCGCAUCCCGUCUGAUCUGCGCAGUUAAACACAGUGCCGCCUAGUUAGUACCAUGGUGGGGGACCACAUGGGAAUCCUGGGUGCUGUGGUUUUUG
rnacentral:rRNA from 1 species